UAUAGGGCUAACCCUUCUCUGUAGCAAAAGAGUGGGAAGAUUCUAGAAUAGAGGUGAUACACCUACCGAGCUUAGAGAUAGCUGGUUAUUCAAGAAAAGGAUUUUAGUCCACCUUUAAGUUUCUAUAAUACUAAUACAUAAUUACCAAACUUAAAAGUCACUCAAAUAAGGUACAGCCUAUUUGAAACAGGAAACAGCCUCAAAUAUUGGGUAAUGACCACACCACAUGACUAAGUUGGCCUAAAAGCAGCCACCUUCAAAAAAGCGUCCAAGCUUUAUCAUUCCCUCCCCAUAAUUCCAUAAUUAUCUCAUAACCCACAACCACUACUGAAUAAUCUCAUAACCGUAUGAGAAACAUCAUGCUAGAACUAGUAACAAGAAGAAAGAGCUUCUCCAAAAUGUAAACGUAAGCCACAAUGAACUCUCACCGGCACUUACCGCCACAACAUAGUAUUAACCCCACAAGAAAAUUAUACUUAAGCCAGCGUUAACCUUACACUAGAACAUUCUUGGAAAGAUUUAGAGAGAGGGAAGGAACUCGGCAAACAUUA
rnacentral:rRNA from 1 species